CUUGGAUAUAUGGAAGAGAGCAAACGUAGCAAGUUCAGGAGGAUUUGUGUGUUCUGUGGAAGCAACUCUGGCCUCAGGAAAGUGUUCCGUGACGCUGCUCUGGAGUUGGGCAAUGAACUGACUCAGGGCAAAUACUUGGAGAGAACUCGACCACUAUUGGCUGCUCUUUAACUCUAUUUCUCAUAUUUAAUACAGUAGCUGAGCAAUCUGAUUGUUUUGAGUUAAUGAGCUGGUGGUUUGUGUUGCUCAAGUAAGAUGAGAAUAUAUUUGUGUUGCCAACUAUGGAUUGCAAUGGAUAUGUGUGUUGCAUCAUCUGAUAUCAAUUUAAUACAUUUUAUUGAAUACAAUUUUACUCUCUCAUCUUUUGAGAGUUCAUUGAAUUAGAGCAAUAUUAUUGAAAAUUUUGUUGCUGAGAAUUUUGUGGGAUUUCCUGAAGCACGGAUUCUCAUCUUUACACGGCCCAUUUAAUUUUGCUUAAUGCUGAUGUAUGAGGAGAACUCUCAUUGCAUCAACCUCAGCAAACAUGCUUUGGCUUAGUGGCUAACCCAGUUAAUUUUUAUGCUCUAUUUGCCUUCUCCAUUUCCAGUUGAAUGAAUUGGUUAAAGUUUUUGUGACUGUAAAUUAUAUUGGUUAAUGAACGCCUUCAAGAGUAUUCUGAUUUGGUCCCUUAUGUAUCUAUAUAGUAUCAAACUAUAUAACUUUCUUUUGCAUGAUCCUUUACUGUAUUUCUUUGCUGUUGCACUAGAUUUAACCUUGAUUCUUAACUAAUAUGUGAUGGUGGAUAUGCAGUGCUUUUAUUCAGGAGUAUCAGAACUGGGACAUGACAUGGGCUUUGCCAGCAUUAUAUGUCAUGCUUAUGAGAUUAGGGUUCUAGCUGAGAGGGUAAGUUCAAUAAAUUAGUUUUGUUUCAAUAACGAGAUAUGUGCUUUAUUUAGUAAUUGGUUGUUGAUAUGUUGGGAAGACGGAUCGACUAAGACUAUUACGUGUGGUUUUGUAGACUGUUUUGGUUCUUUAUUGAACAUGAGAAUCAUAGAAUGUAAAUAAAUUUUAAUAUAGAUGAGAAUAAAUUUAAUAUAUUUCACAUGUUUAA